GAGAAUCAAGAUAGUUGGAUGACUAAGAUUGUGACCACACCUUAUGGGAUCAGUUUAUGGAGAUCCAUAAGAGCAUUAUGGGAGGAAGUUAAACCCAAAUUCAAGAUGAAAGUGGGGAAUGGGAACAAAAUCAAAUUCUGGAAGGAUGAAUGGCAUGAGAAAGGUAACCUGGAAACUCUUUUCCCUGAUAUUUACAAUCUGGCAAUGUUCCAACAAAGAACUAUUGCAGAACUAUGGACACCACAAGGGUGGAAUUUCAUCUUCAGGAGAGAACCAAAUGACUGGGAAGUGAUGAGGUUGGCAGAAUUCCUCAAGUUGGUUGGACAUUUUACUGGACUUCAGGCAUAUGAGGAUAUGCUUUGGUGGAAAGGCAACAAUAGAGGAGAGUUCAAAGUGCAUUCAGCUUACAGGCUGAUGGAUGAAUCAAGCCAGCAGAGUCCCAUCUGGCCUUGGAAACAAGUAUGGAAGUGUAGAAUCCCACACAAAGUCUCAUGCUUUAUUUGGCUGCUAGCUAAGGAAGCUGCCCUGACUCAGGAUAAUGUAAUGAAAAGGGGGAUAACCUUAUGCUCUAGGUGUUUCCUAUGUGGGGAAACCUUAGAAACUGUAAACCAUCUAUUUCUACACUGCAAAUACACCCGGCAGCUUUGGAGGAUUUUCUUGAGCCUUAAAGGCAUAUCCUGGACUAUGCCUAGGAGAGUUACUGAGGCCUUGUACAGCUGGGAGGAGGCAGGUGCCCUUGCAAAAGACAGAACUAGAUGGAGAAUUAUCCCUGCUUCAAUAUGGUGGGCAAUCUGGAAAGAAAGGAAUUCCAGAUGUUUUGAAGGCAUAGAAAAUAGUGUGCAGGAUGUUAAACUAAACUGCAUUUUGUUGUUAUGUUUUUGGUGUAAUCAAUUAUACUCAAAUGACACUGUCUCUAUAGUUGAUGUUCUAGACUCAAUAUAGAAAUAGAGUAGGAGUGUCUAGAGUGCAUCUGUAUAUAAGGUUUGAGUACAACCCAUGUACUUUUGUGAUAUAAUACAUCGUUACCAUUUUCAAAAAAAAAAAGCUGUAGUAAUCUACUGCAAAUAGAAAUAAAAAAUAAAAAACUUAAUUUCCUUAAAUCUUCCAUGUGUAAAACAUUGGUAGACUAAAAGGAGUGCUAACAUUACUCCCCUCUUCAAAGCGCGCUUUCCCUCAAGCGCUAAGUGUGGAAAAUAUUAGUAGUUCCCCCUUUUCUAACAAAUUCUUCCUCAUUGUAUAUAGAGUCAAUCUAGAAAAACUUCUUGCACUGAUGACCUCAAGCGAAUGGUUCAUCACAGUUGAAACAAAGUCCCUUAAGUCGCCUUUCCUCCAUUUCAGAUCUGGUCAGUUUCUUCACAAAUCUGACAUAUUGUUGAGGUGAAAAAUCUAUUGUCUUUGAUGUGCAAGCAUCUAACAAUUGCGAACAAAUGAGUUUUUCCUUGCGCUCAUAAAAUGGGGAUAAACUCAUUGCCAUAGCUAAAUCUGGAGGAUUAUGCAACUCAACCUCAAUUGCUAUAUAAUUAGUAAGACCGUUGAUAUAAAGUUCAAUUUUUUGUGACUGUGAGUGUACCAACCCGCGAAAUUAACUGCUCAAAUGUUUCUUGGUAAUCUGCCACAGACCCGAUCUGGCGUAGCUUAGCCAAUUCUCCCAAUUUCUGACUUCUGAUUGGUGGCCCAAAACGAAGGUUACAAUGACGUUUGAAGUCAUCCCAAGACAGUUGAGGUAGUUCAGUCUCUAGUUGAAGAAACCAAAGUUGUGCAUUGCCCUCCAAAUGAAAAGAAGCAAGUCCAACCAUUUCUUCUUCCCGAGUUUGUUGGUGUCGAAAGAAGUGUUCACAUCUGUUCAACCAUCCCAAAGGGUCCUCUUGGCCAUUAAAUCGUGGGAAAUCCAGUUUUGUAUGUCGAGGAAUGAUGAAACUUCCCCUCAUAAACUCAGUCCUAGAUGCUCUCCCAACUUACAUGCUGUCUCUAUUUCCCAUCCCACCAGGGAUCACUAAAAGAUUAGACAGCAUAAGAAGGAAGUUCUUCUGGCAAGGAAACAAAGAGAAUAGAGGUUUUCAUCUAGUUAAAUGGAAUGCAGUGACAACUGGAAAGAAGAAUGGUGGUCUGGGAAUAAAGAAUAUGGAGCUACAUGGCAAAGCACUCUUAAUUAAGUGGUUGUGCAAAUACUCAAAAUGGAAAAACCAAACACUUUGGAGAAGAGUGAUAGGUGCCAAAUAUGAGAAUGAAGAUAGUUGGAUGACUAAGAUUGUGACCACACCUUAUGGGAUCAGUUUAUGGAGAUCCAUAAGAGCAUUAUGGGAGGAAGUUAAACCCAAAUUCAAGAUGAAAGUGGGGAAUGGGAACAAGAUCAAAUUCUGGAAGGAUGAAUGGCAUGAGAAAGGUAACCUGGAAACUCUUUUCCCUGAUAUUUACAAUCUGGC
rnacentral:lncRNA from 1 species